GGCCAGUGAUGUGAGAAUUAAUAUUUGCUACUCUUGAUAGGGUGCUACUCCAUUUGAUGAUUCUUAUCCACCAAGAUCUCUGAGGCC